AUCAAAUUAAUCUAAAUUAUUAUAAUUAAAAAAUUUACCAGGUAGCAUAAGAUGAACUCAAUAAAAGGGUACAUCAGCAAACAAUAUUUAUUACAGAUGAUUAUCCAAUACAUUAAGUUUUGUAGAAUUUAUGCCUUCUGGUGAUGCUUCACUUUCUUGUUAUAUAAUGUAGUAGUGGCUCUACUGCAGGCACAAAUCACUCGCGGACAGCUGACGGGAGAACAGAGAGGCCAUAGCCUUAUUCAAAACACAGUCCAGGCAUUCUAGUCAGAUAAGGGCAACUUAUUGUCUACACUAUAUUGUACAAAAAAAAAAUAUUCAUAAGGACUCAUUCUAGAUUGUAGGAAAAAAGGUUAAAAAUCAUAAGCAAGAAGGAAACGAACACUUUAAUGUGUUAUAAAUUUACCUGUAGACUGGAAUUAGACUUCAUUUGCCUUUCUCGGUUCAGGACACGUACGUGCAUUCAGUAUAAUUUCUAAAACUGUAAUGAGUUAUAAACACGAAAUCACGGAUAAAUGGGUCCUAAUUUCAGUAUUUAAUCAGGAUAAUCAUGCGGUAAAAAUGUUCCUCGGACAUGUUCUUGUAAUUGGGAUAAUAGAAACUGAAAGUACACUGCUAAUAACAUCUUAACAGUAAUCAAUUCAUAAUCCAAACUAAAACAAACAAAGAAAUUCAUCACAAUAAUUUACCGAAAACAUUUAAUUAGAAUAAAACAACAGAACAACUAGCGAUUUAAUUCACAUACAGAAAAAAAACAAAACAUCAUAACCAUAUGUGGAUGUAUGCCUCCAAUAACCAUUUGCAGAUCAACCACAAGAUAAAAGCUUGGAAAGAAAAAGGUUAAGAAACCAGCCAAUACUAGACAGCGGAACAACGGCUAGAAGAAGAGGGGAACAACGAACAGAACAACAGAACAACUAAUCAUCGAAUUCACAUACAUACACAAACAGUACAUAAAAACCACACCUGGAUGUAUGUCUCCACCAAACAUUUACAGAUCAGCCACAGGAUAAUAGCUUAGAAAGAAAACAGUUAAUAAACCGGACGAAAGUGCACAGCGGAACAACGACCAUAAGAAGAGGGGAACAACUCUUUAAUAUAAUGACUGAUUGAGAAAAGAUCAACGAGGACAACGCUAUCCGGAAAUGGCGCACCUCU
rnacentral:lncRNA from 1 species